rnacentral:rRNA from 1 species
UACGUAGGGUGCAAGCGUUCAUCGGAAUUACUGGGCGUAAAGCGUGCGCAGGCGGUUUUGUUAGUCUGUCGUGAAAGCCCCGGGCUCAACCUGGGAAUUGCGAUGGAGACUGCAAGGCUUGAAUCUGGCAGAGGGGGGUAGAAUUCCACGUGUAGCAGUGAAAUGCGUAGAGAUGUGGAGGAACACCGAUGGCGAAGGCAGCCACCUGGGUCAAGAUUGACGCUCAUGCACGAAAGCGUGGGGAGCAAACAGG